rnacentral:sRNA from 1 species
CACAACAGGGAGCAAGCAUACAGAGGCCAGAGCAAGACAUCACAUGUCUUCUUCCUUCUAUUGUUUCUUGAAACAGAACUGGAAGCACCUUUUCUCAUACAGACUUGCUGGUCAGACAGUUCUUGAAACCUGCCUGUCCCCACUUCCCAAUGCUAGGGGGACAGCCAUUCACAGCCAUGUCUAGCCUUUUACAUUUUGGAUUCUCAUGCUUCCAGAGCAAGCCAUCUUACCACUGAGUCAUUUUCCAAAGCACCCUGCCUCCUGAGUUGCUUUUAAAGAGAAAGGCUACCCUGAAUGGAUUUAUAGAAGCUGUGUUUCAGUGAGCCCUGAAUGUGGCAUGCCCAGUUUUCAUUUGUCAAAGGGAAAGAGAAGAGAAAGAGCUGCGGACUUCUUCCUACCAUCCUACAGAAAGCAAGUAAACUCAGACUAAGACACCUCAUCUCUUUUGGCUGUACCUUUGGGCGAAGGCAUUACUAUUCUGAGGAAUUCGAGUUCAGAGGGUGGUUCAGAGAGCAGCUUCCUUCUGGAAUCCAUUCCACGUAUUCAGACACCUCCUGACAAAGUCAAAGGGCAGAAUUGUGGGUCCAGGAGUUUGUGAGGCCUCUCCAAUAUACAACACUGAAAAAAAAUGGUGGCCAAGGAUCCUGCCAUCAGAAAGAGCCACUGACAGUGAUUAAAUGUGACCACCUCCUGGCUAAGGCUAAAACAAAAUAUGUCUGAGAAUUCCACCUUUCAGCAGAGCCUUCGAUUGCUCUUCACUUCGCUUGUACUGGAUUGCAGCUGCACUCGCAAGGUGCUUGAGGACCUUGUUCCCUGCUGGACCAUACAAAGAAAAUAAGCUGUGCUAAAAGGUUAUGAUUCCAUUUGGUCAACAAGCCUGAGUAUAUCAGGAAGAAAUUGUUAAAAUGUGACCCAGUUUAAGACAGCUACUGCACAUCCUUGGCUGCCAUCUUCCUUGAUCAACCAUCUUUGACCCCACACUGUUGAACUUAAUGUCUGGUUCUUGUGUAACUAGACCUUCUGUGCUCCUGAUUCAAGAAUAUCUCAAUAACACAGAGAAGAAAUCAAAGCCCUUCUUCAGAUAAUGCUGGGUUGAAUUGCUUCUGGCCGGGGAACACACAUUCCUCAAUCUUUUCCAGCAACUUGUACAUCCCAUGUGCUUACAGGAUGUAAAAGUUUAGUAUUGCCCAUAUGAUACCCAGUAAGUUUUCCUGUCUUUCCUUUUUCAUGAAUUGAACUUGAUUCACAGCCAUUAAAAUUCAUUUGGCAAAAUGUCUCCCCUGGCAGGACUUAGCAGCUCUACCAUUAGUGGAUGGGCUGACCUUCCAUUAGGGGCAGCAAAGUGGAAGAACCAGCAGCUCACAGGUGGUAGCUCCUUUGUGCAGACCCGCGCUUUUGAAGCCUGUUUUACAGACACCCAUAGCCUUGUUCAUAUUCAGAAGAAGAUUAACACAACAAUGGAUGACUUACUAAGGAACCAGCAUCCACACUGUGUCUCUUGUUCUAUACCAAAGGGUAAACAACCACUUUGCUUGUGACGCUGUGUUUCAUUUUGGUGACUCCAUAGAAUUGAAAACCUUUUGCUCUGAUGGCUGAGAAUCAGCUGUAGAAUGGGAAAAGUGCUUAGAGUCACUGGGGAAUGAGGAUAAUCGCCAAAACACAUUUACCGCUCACAUUCAGAUGAAGAUUAAGUGAUUCCUUUAAUACGCAUCAACUCGAUUAAACUUCAUAGGAGCAAAAGCCUUUUGAAAUAAAUUAGCCAGAUACUUUCUGGAAACAAGAAGCAUUUGAGGCUAAAUUCUCCUAUGCCAUUACUUGCCCUCUUGUCAUUCCAAGGAAUGAACCUGAUAGAGAACAGGAGGGGCCAACUGACUUGUGUACAGAGCACACCCUAGCCUGUGUUCUGAGCAAGGUGUGAAGCACUGUGACUGUAGCACGUUGCUUAACAGCUCUGAAAUUAUUGUCAUCAAUGUGUGCAAAAAAGGAGAAUUUGACAAGUAGAAAAUUGUAAACUGGGGUUUCAAUCCUGAUUACAAACACUUUGAUCAGACCUUUUGAGGCAUUAUGGAGAUAUACAAUACUUUUGGACGUCAUUCAUAAGUCAUUUGAGUUUGGAAAUCCGAUUUGGUUCAUAGCCAGCUUCUCCUGCCUUCUCAGUAUGAAAGCUCAGGGAAGUUAUUGGACUUUGUGCGUCUUGGUUUCCUCGUAUGUAAAACUGAAACAAGAACACAGAAAGUGAUGCUUGAGAAGCCACAAGCUGUCAAAAAUUUUUGGGACUGCAGGGUAAUGCUGGCACGUGCCUUUAAUCUC